rnacentral:rRNA from 1 species
UACGAAGGGGGCGAGCGUUGUUCGGAUUUACUGGGCGUAAAGGGCGCGCAGGCGGCAGACCAAGUCAGGCGUGAAAGCCCCGGGCUCAACCUGGGAACUGCGUCUGGGACUGGUUUGCUAGAGAUCGGGAGAGGAGAGUGGAAUUCCCAGUGUAGAGGUGAAAUUCGUAGAUAUUGGGAAGAACACCGGUGGCGAAGGCGGGUCUCUGGACCGAUACUGACGCUGAGGCGCGAAAGCGUGGGGAGCAAACAGG